AGUAGCUCAGUAGGACAGAGCGUUGGAUUCCUAAUCCGAAGGUCGCGGGUUCGACCCCCGCCUGG
rnacentral:tRNA from 1 species